GAUGAACGCUGGCGGCGUGCCUAACACAUGCAAGUCGAGCGAAGCACUUACUUUAGAUUUCUUCGGAAUGACGAAGUUUGUGACUGAGCGGCGGACGGGUGAGUAACGCGUGGGCAACCUGCCCUGUACAGGGGGAUAACAGUUAGAAAUGACUGCUAAUACCGCAUAAGCCCACAGCUUCGCAUGAAGCAGUGGGAAAAACUCCGGUGGUACAGGAUGGGCCCGCGUCUGAUUAGCUAGUUGGUAAGGUAACGGCUUACCAAGGCGACGAUCAGUAGCCGACCUGAGGGGGUGACCGGCCACAUUGGGACUGAGACACGGCCCAAACUCCUACGGGAGGCAGCAGUGGGGAAUAUUGCACAAUGGGGGAAACCCUGAUGCAGCGACGCCGCGUGAGCGAUGAAGUAUUUCGGUAUGUAAAGCUCUAUCAGCAGGGAAGAAAGUGACGGUACCUGACUAAGAAGCCCCGGCUAACUACGUG
rnacentral:rRNA from 1 species